AGCACAGCCAUUAAAAUAAGAGCUUGUGGUAACAUACAGUGUGAUUAGAAAACCAGAGUGCUUCUCACAGGAACAGCAAUUGUGUUGAAGAAACAUCACUGCUUUUACAGACAAUGACUCCUGUGCUUUCAGGUGUGGUUGUCAGAGAGCCCUGAGGCUACAUGAGGCAUACAAUCCUUACCUGGUCCUUAACGGGGGUGACGUAGCCCUUAUCCCUCCAGUCCAGGGCACGUGGGGCCUCCAGGAAGUUGGGCUCCAUGAACAGGGACCCCUUGACUUUCCUCUCUGACCUGCGCUUGUAUCCGUUCAUGAUCUGCCUGAAUUCCUCGUGAGUCUGUAGAGAGGUAAAGUGAAUCACGGGAUCUGCUGCGGAGGCGGCGUUGAGCCAGGAAACCAGCCUGGACAUGGGAAACAGAACCAGGAAAACGAAAAGAAAACCAAAACUUUAGCCAGCAGCUACCAGAAAGCGGUCCUUUCAACCGGAUCCACUCCUGCUGGAGGAUGUUUCCCCUCGUAAUUUAAACCAAGAGAAAGAAACUUGCAAUGGCUGCUCUAAGCUAUAGGAGGGGAGACGACGACAAAGGCAGCCGAAUGAAACAAGAUGGCUAAUGCCGGCGGAUAACAAUAAAAAUGUGGGUAUUUUGACUUCACAGAUAAAUAAAAAUGACACAUUAAGUAGAAAUUCUUUAAACUGACACUGGGAUGUCGUUUAUUCUGGGCUCAAAUGUCGGGAAAAAUUAGAGAAAAAAACAAAUAAUCAUCAUUAUAAUUGCUUUAUAGUCUCAUUGUCGGCGUCGAGCUCGGAUAUUCUGCUAACAAAAAGCAAGAUGAGAAGAUGAAUGAUGAAAAAAAA